rnacentral:rRNA from 1 species
ACGGGAGGCAGCAGUGAGGAAUAUUGGUCAAUGGGCGGAAGCCUGAACCAGCCAAGUAGCGUGCAGGAUGACGGCCCUAUGGGUUGUAAACUGCUUUUGUCAGGGAAUAAAAAGGAUUACGUGUAAUCCAUUGCAUGUACCUGAAGAAUAAGGACCGGCUAAUUCCGUGCCAGCAGCCGCGGUAAUACGGAAGGUCCGGGCGUUAUCCGGAUUUAUUGGGUUUAAAGGGAGCGCAGGCGGCGAUUUAAGCGUGUUGUGAAAUGUAGGAGCUCAACUUCUGCACUGCAGCGCGAACUGGAUUGCUUGAGUACGCGGGAAGUAGGCGGAAUUCGUCGUGUAGCGGUGAAAUGCUUAGAUAUGACGAAGAACUCCGAUUGCGUAGGCAGCUGACCAGGCCGUAAAUGACGCUCAUGCACGAAAGUGCGGGGAUCGAACAGGAUUAGAUACCCUGGUA